rnacentral:rRNA from 1 species
UACGUAGGGGGCAAGCGUUGUCCGGAUUUAUUGGGCGUAAAGAGCGUGUAGGCGGUUCGGUAGGUCCGUUGUGAAAACUCGAGGCUCAACCUCGAGACGCCGAUGGAAACCAUCGAACUAGAGUCCGGAAGAGGAGAGUGGAAUUCCUGGUGUAGCGGUGAAAUGCGCAGAUAUCAGGAAGAACACCAAUGGCGAAGGCAGCUCUCUGGGACGGUACUGACACUGAGACGCGAAAGCGUGGGGAGCGAACAGG